UUCCGUAGGUGAACCUGCGGAAGGAUCAUUACCGAGUUCUCGGGCUUCGGCUCGAAUCUCCCACCCUUUGUGAACAUACCUCUGUUGCUUUGGCGGCUCUUUGCCGCGAGGAGCUACAACUUCUCGCGCGCUUUCCGCCAGAGGACCUUCAAACUCCAGUCAGUAAACGUCGACGUCUGAUAAACAAGUUAAUAAACUAAAACUUUCAACAACGGAUCUCUUGGUUCUGGCAUCGAUGAAGAACGCAGCGAAAUGCGAUAAGUAAUGUGAAUUGCAGAAUUCAGUGAAUCAUCGAAUCUUUGAACGCACAUUGCGCCCCCUGGCAUUCCGGGGGGCAUGCCUGUUCGAGCGUCAUUACAACCCUCAAGCUCUGCUUGGUAUUGGGCGCCGUCCUCUCUGCGGACGCGCCUUAAAGACCUCGGCGGUGGCUGUUCAGCCCUCAAGCGUAGUAGAAUACACCUCGCUUUGGAGUGGUUGGCGUCGCCCGCCGGACGAACCUUCUGAACUUUUCUCAAGGUUGACCUCGGAUCAGGUAGGGAUACCCGCUGAACUUAAGCAUAUCAAUAAGCGGAGGAAGAUCAUUACCGAGUUCUCGGGCUUCGGCUCGAAUCUCCCACCCUUUGUGAACAUACCUCUGUUGCUUUGGCGGCUCUUUGCCGCGAGGAGCUACAACUUCUCGCGCGCUUUCC
rnacentral:rRNA from 1 species